AGUGAACGCUGGCGGUAGGCCUAACACAUGCAAGUCGAACGGCAGCACAGUAAGAGCUUGCUCUUACGGGUGGCGAGUGGCGGACGGGUGAGGAAUACAUCGGAAUCUACUUUUUCGUGGGGGAUAACGUAGGGAAACUUACGCUAAUACCGCAUACGACCUACGGGUGAAAGCAGGGGAUCUUCGGACCUUGCGCGAUUGAAUGAGCCGAUGUCGGAUUAGCUAGUUGGCGGGGUAAAGGCCCACCAAGGCGACGAUCCGUAGCUGGUCUGAGAGGAUGAUCAGACACACUGGAACUGAGACAGGGUACAGACUCCUAGGGGAGGCAGCGGUGGGGAAUAUUGGGAAAUGGGCGCAAGGCUGAUACAGCAAUACCGCGUGAGUGAAGAAGGACUUCGGGUUGUAAAGCCCUUUUGUUGGAAAAGAAAAGCAGCAGGUUAAUACCCCGCUGUUCUGACGGUACCCAAAGAAUAAGCACCGGCUAACUUCGUG
rnacentral:rRNA from 1 species